CAUCGCUGAUUCUUCAGCCCCAGCUAA
rnacentral:misc_RNA from 1 species